rnacentral:lncRNA from 1 species
UUUUUUUCCUCCACUUCUGUCUCUGCCCAACUCCGGACAGCCUACAAUGUAAAACCAAGUGCAUUUUAAAAAUACCGAAAUGAGCUACAUUGGAGAGGCACCAAUUGGAUUAAGAGAUUGUGGUUUGGGAGGCUGCAGCGGCUCUGUGCAUAGCUCUGGAGCUCUGUACACCACUCCAAGGACUCUGUGCAUUGCUCUGGAGCUCUGUACACCACUCCAAGGGCUCUGUGCAUUGCUCUGGAGCUCCGUACACCACUCCAAGGGCUCUGUGCAUAGCUCUGGAGCUCUGUACACCACUCCAAGGACUCUGUGCAUUGCUCUGGAGCUCUGUACACCACUCCAAGGGCUCUGUGCAUUGCUCUGGAGCUCCGUACACUGCUUCCAGGGCCUCUGCACAUUGUCAUCUCGCAGUUUCUCUUAAGAAUUGCUGGUGCUGUUGAGGCUGCUGCCCUCUCCUGUCCGGCCGCUCGCUGCCCGCAGCAGCUGCUGCAUCACUGCCACGUUGCAGCCUCCGUCAGCAUCUCCACGACAGCCGCUCACUGCCUGUGUCCCCGGACACGCCAGCAUCAGCCAGGGCCCAGCAGGCCCAGGACGAUGGCCUUUUGCUCCUGCAGCACUCGGCCAGCCCCUGGGGGACCCUCAUCACCCGGGUGGGGGACUCAGGGCAGGUGCUGCCCACCCUCACCAGCAGCCAGGGCCCGGCUGUGCCCCUGCCUGUCAUGGAGGACUUGGGUCCAGCACUGCCACGAGCAAUCUCCUGCUGUACAUAGAUAUUUUCGGGGUGGUUUUUAGCAUUUUCAUGGAUAAUUGGGGUUUUGGUUUGGUUUGGUUUUUUUAAAAGACUCUCAACUUUUUGGAAUGUGGUUUCUCAUUUUUACAACUGCCUUUUAAUUAUUUGUAAUAUUGGUCAGUUCUGUCUUACUCUGUAAAUAGUGGUGCUGGGCAUUUCCCAGGGGGGCUGAGACGAGGCUGGCAAGGAAUUUGUGGGGAAAAUUUGCUUGAGGUGUGGAGCUGGGUGAUUCUACUCCAGCCCCUCCAUGUAUUCUGCCCUUCCACAUGCCCAGCCUGGGGUGAAACCUGAGGUGUUUUGGGUAAAGCCACGCUUGCCCUUGCCCUGUCCUCUUGCUUCCUCUCACCAGCCCAUGCCAAGGUCGCAUGAAGGGCACCUCCUGCCCCGAUGACAGGCUCUCUGCCCACGCCAUCCUGCCCCCCUGUGUCAUGCCUGCUUGUUGUGUGAUGAAUAAAGGCCCUGCAACCCCUCGCCCCCACCCUUGGUGCUGUCUUCCCCUGCUGUGGUGGGGGGGCUGUGCUGCCUGUCCUGUCUGGGGCAGUGCUGCUGCAGAGGGAGGUGUGGGGUGACAUGAUCCUGUGCCUCUGUUCCUGCCAUCCUGCCUGCUGCCCAGCCCACACAUGGUGUCCCAUGCUCUCCUCACCCACCUGUCUGUCCCUGACACCAUCCCUACGUGCUGACCCCAGCUGUGCCACACCACCAGGGCUCCUUGUCAACUCCUCACUGCCAGCACGGCCACCCCACACCAGGCUCCCCUCAGCUCUGCAUUGUCCUCGUGAUGCUGGUGUUUGUCACAGCUGCCAUGUCCAUGCCAGCCUGCCCAGCAGCUCACCCAGCCUGCACACACACCCACAUAUCCCCCUGCCUCUGCUGCCAUGGCUCCCUGCCCUUGUGCCCCUUGGCUGGACUCGAUCACCUCAGAGAUCAUUUCCAGCCUUAAUGGUUCUGUUAUUCCCUGAUCACCUGCUGGUCCCAGCCUCCCCUAGGGUGUGCUCCAUUAAACUCCCGCCCUGAGGUCCUCCAUCACCCACCAAAACCCACCCUCUUUCUUUUGCUCUUCCAUCAUCCUUCAUGUCCCAUCCCUUUCAUCCCUGCUCUUUGAUCUGCCACGUUCCAUCCUUCUUUAUUGUGCUCUUUCAUCAACCCUAACCCAACUCAGCCCUCCUUCCUCCUUCCUGUGCUACUCCAUCCCAUUCCUCCUUCCCAUGUUCUAUCACCCACCAUACCCCAUCCCUCCUGUGCACCUUCUUUUAUGUCCAAACCCUUCUUCCACUGCUCCUCUGUUGUUCACCUGUCCCUCCUUCCUUACAGUCAUCUUCUGUGUCCCAUCCUUCCCUGCCACGCUGUGCUCCUCCAUUACCCACCGUGUCCCCUCCCACCCUCUUGUGUUCCUGAAUCCUACACUGCAUCCUAUCCCUCCUUGAUCUCCAACACCCACCACCUCCCACCCCUCCUUCCUGUGCUCCUCCACUGUCUUCCACAUCCCACCCUCCAGUGUUCCUGCCACACUUUCACCUAUCCCUCUAACCUGCUCCUUCAUUCACCAUAUCCUGUUCCUUACCUUCAUUCACCACCACCUUCUCAUGUUUUUCCUUCUUCACCUUCACCCUCCCCCAUCCACCUUGCCUUGCUUUGCCUCCAGCUUUUCCUUUCAUAUUCAUGUCAGCAGCUCACCAUCUUCUUCAGCUCCCACCGUCCUCUACAUCUUGCCACCAGUUUAUCCCUGCUUAUUCUCCAUUAGUUCCCACCUUCACCCCAACCUCCUCCACUCCUCAUCUUCUCCACAUCUUUCUUCAUCCUCUUCUUUCUUCCUAUCUCCUCUCUCAACCUUCUUCACUUCCCCAUCCCAAAAUCUACCCUCACCUCCCACCAUUUCACCAUUCUUUCAACUGCUAAUGUCACCCAAUUUUACCUUCUCCACCUCCACGUUUCCAAUCCCUCUUUGUGCUUAUCCAUUUCCCAUCUCCUUAUUCAUCCUCCUUCACUGCCUUGCAGUCUUUGUCUUCUUCUGUUCCCUUAGUCUCUCGUUCCUCCUGUCAUCCAUGUCCAUCUCCAAGAGUUUCCUCACCCCUCCUUUUCUUAUCCAUCUCCCCUCCACCUUUUUCCCCACCACCUACUAUCUAAUCUAUCCUUGGUUUUCUCUUUGAUUUUGUCAACCUUCUUCAUUCUCCACUUCCCACUGUCUUCCACCCUUCCCCGUGCCCCACACCACCCACUAUUUGCCUGUCCUUCCUCACCCUCCACUUCCUACCAUCUGCCCAGUCUCCUCAUCCUCCCCAACCUCACUGUUCAUAUUCAUUGUCCUUUCCACCAUCUUUCAUCUCCUUCACCCUCCAUCUCAUCCUUCAUCCUCCACCUCAGUUCCUCCUGUGACCCUCCACUUCCCAUUGUUCCCUGUACUUUUUCCUGCAGUUUCACCUCUUCCCUCUCCCUCUCACACUCGACACCCGGCUAUCUCUGUCAUUGUCACUGUCCUCUGUCAUUUGUCCCCCACAGUGUUCCUGUUUCUCUUUAUGCUCCUCCACUUUUCCCCGCCUUCCUAUCCCUUUUUAUCUUCUGAGUGUCCCACCAACCUCACAGAUUUCCCUCUCCACGCCUCCUUGACCUCCAGCCGUCCUUCCUCACCUCACAGCUCCCUCUCUAACUGGCCUUACAUUCUCCUUCAUCUCCUACCUCUGUCCUGACUUCCAAUCUUCUCCCAGCCUGACCUCUCCCAUUCCUCCCUGCACAUCUGACUCCAGCUACAAUUUUCUGCUUCUCUUCCCACUUCUUCUGCCUUAUAUCCCAUCCCUUACUGACCCAGGAAAGCCACUACUAACUCAGCCACCCCAAUGCACACAAUAAGAAAACAUCAGAAAAGACUUCUGGGCUAGUGCAGCUGGAACUGGUCAUAGGGGAAAAGGGGAUCACCUCUGCCCUUGGAAGGUUUCAGUAACUCAGCCAGACAAAGUCACCAGUGUCGUGAUCUAACAUUAGCAAUAACUGAUGUGGAACAUGGAGCUUGACCAGAUUCCCUUAGGAUCACUUCCAGCAAUGAAGGAUUUCCAAGAGGGGCAAGAAAGGCCAGGAAUGGCUUUGAAUUCAUUGCUUGGGAUGCUGUAGAACAUGAAGAAUUAUCCCUGCCACUUGCAGCUGCUCCAUGGUGCUCAAGCAGACCCAGCAUACACUGCUCCAGCAGGACCAUCCCAUGCUCCACAAGGACCAUCCCACUGUGCUCAAGCAGGGCCAUCCCAAGCUGCCUGAGCAGCACCACCCCAGCAGGACCAUCCCAUGCUGUUCCAGCAGGACCAUCCCACCCUGCUUGAUCAGCAGCAUCCCAAACUGCUCCAGCAGGACCUCUCCAGGCUGCUUGGGCAGGAUCAUCCAAUGUAGCUGGAGCAGAACCUUCCCAUGUUGCCCAAGCAGGACCACCCCAUGUCACUUGAGCAGGACCACUCCAGGCUGCUUGAGUACUGUGGACCAACCCAAAGAGGCUUCCUAAAAAUGCUGCCAGCUCCCAGGCCAGUGAGUGAUCCCUGAGAUGUCCCCUCAGACCCAAGAGCCAGGGAUCUUUCAUCAUUCUUGUUUUCUGUCUCUUGGGCUGGGCCCUGCAGGGCCAUCCCCUUUCCAACAGCCUUGUGGCUGCAGUAGGGCACCAGGCUGCUGGCAGUGCUGCCAAGGGGGGGACAGGUUGUCUCUCCCUGCCAAGGGAGCUCCAAACCCUGCAGGAUCUGCAUGCAGGGCCUUUUCAGAGCACCCCGUGUCCCUCGCACAAGGGCCAGCCAGCCUCACCUCCCUGAAGACUCUGCCUUGCCAUGUAGGAGGCUGCCAGCCAUCCCAUGGAGGGGAGGAUGCCCUUUCCUAGGGGAUGUCCCACUGCAGGGACAGGGCACCCAGUGUCUUUACAGGGUGGGUGUGACAUUUGUAAAGCAUUCCUGCCCAUAUGCCUUCCUGGCUGGGAAAUCUGGGGGAGGGUGGAGGGAAUUUGCUACCUGUGUUAGGAACUAGCUGAACUUACAUGUCUCCCCAAGCUGGAUUUCUUAUUCCAAAUGUUCAAACUGUUGUAUAUUGUACUGGGAUUUUUACAUUGAAUUAUUGUAGAAAACAAAAAUUUAAACCAAGUCUGUUAAAAAAUAAAA